rnacentral:tRNA from 1 species
CGUGCCCGAAACACCAAGGGCUACUUUGAUAAAGCAGACAUGGAAUUGAUACUCCCACUUCCCG